rnacentral:rRNA from 1 species
AUUGAACGCUGGCGGAAUGCUUUACACAUGCAAGUCGAACGGCAGCACGGACUUCGGUCUGGUGGCGAGUGGCGAACGGGUGAGUAAUACAUCGGAACGUGCCCAAUCGUGGGGGAUAACGUAGCGAAAGCUACGCUAAUACCGCAUACGAUCUAAGGAUGAAAGCGGGGGAGCGCAAGACCUCGCGCGAUUGGAGCGGCCGUGGGAAGAUUAGGUAGUUGGGGGGGUAAAGGCCUACCAAGGCGACGAUCUGGAGCUGGUCUGAGAGGAUAAUCAGCCACACUGGGACUGAGACACGGCCCAGACUCCUACGGGAGGCAGCAGUGGGGAAUUUUGGACAAUGGACGCAAGUCUGAUCCAGCCAUUCCGCGUGCAGGAUGAAGGCCCUCGGGUUGUAAACUGCUUUGUACAGAACGAAAAGGCUCUGGUUAAUACCUAGGGCUCAUGACGGUACUGUAAGAAUAAGCACCGGCUAACUACGUGCCAGCCGCCGCCGUAA